CCUACGGGAGGCAGCAGUGGGGAAUAUUGCACAAUGGGGGGAACCCUGAUGCAGCGACGCCGCGUGAGUGAAGAAGUAUUUCGGUAUGUAAAGCUCUAUCAGCAGGGAAGAAAAUGACGGUACCUGACUAAGAAUCCCCGGCUAACUACGUGCCAGCAGCCGCGGUACUACGUAGGGGGCAAGCGUUAUCCGGAUUUACUGGGUGUAAAGGGAGCGCAGACGGCUGUGCAAGUCUGGAGUGAAAGGCGGGGGCCCAACCCCCGGACUGCUCUGGAAACUGUAAAGCUGGAGUGCAGGAGAGGUAAGCGGAAUUCCUAGUGUAGCGGUGAAAUGCGUAGAUAUUAGGAGGAACACCAGUGGCGAAGGCGGCUUACUGGACUGCAACUGACGUUGAGGCUCGAAAGCGUGGGGAGCAAACAGGAUUAGAUACCCCAGUAGUC
rnacentral:rRNA from 1 species